rnacentral:piRNA from 1 species
UGAAAGUGAUAUGUAAUUAGGACAUU